rnacentral:rRNA from 1 species
UAAGGAAUCUUCCACAAUGGGCGAAAGCCUGAUGGAGCAACGCCGCGUGCAGGAUGAAGGCCUUCGGGUCGUAAACUGCUUUUAUGAGUGAAGAAUAUGACGGUAACUCAUGAAUAAGCACCGGCUAACUACGUGCCAGCAGCCGCGGUCAUACGUAGGGUGCAAGCAUUAUCCGGAGUGACUGGGCGUAAAGAGUUGCGUAGGUGGUCAAGUUAGCGAAUAGUGAAAUCUGGUGGCUCAACCAUACAGACUAUUAUUCGAACUGCUUGACUCGAGAGUAGCAGAGGUAACUGGAAUUUCUAGUGUAGGAGUGAAAUCCGUAGAUAUUAGAAGGAACACCAAUGGCGUAGGCAGGUUACUGGGCUAUUUCUGACACUAAGGCACGAAAGCGUGGGGAGCGAACC